UCGGUGCGUGCGGGCGGCUUCCGGCGUGGUGACUGUUUCUGGAACGAUUUUGAGAGUUGUGCCGCUGCCUGUCCGUCUGCAUCAUGGCUGCUGGAGAGGGGCCGGUCCUCGCCACCGCGCCGGUCCAAUGUCCGACCGACCUAUCGCUGGACACUCUGGACGACCACAGCUCAUGUGCGGCAAUACGAGCGGCGCCGUUGGUACCGAGAUUAGAAACGUCCAUCUGCCGGUCAAAACUCAACUGCGGCCUGCGGAAACUCCAGCUCUCUCACAGGACGUCUGGCAGUUCGCGAGUUGGGGACACUGCUCCAGUAUACCGACCAAUGGACGUCACUUCAAUGGAUCGCGUCACAAACUUGACCCGUGUUUGGCGGUGUCGGGGCGGUCUCCCGGUGCCGAGUCCCGUCCGGCGGCUGUAUUGUUGACCCAAGAUGCCGUUCCGUCGUCCGAACUCCGGCUGCUUGUGACCUGGCGCCGGACAGACUCCGAACGGUGCGGCAGUACAGUAUGGAGUGUGGCGCCGGUAUACAGCUGACACCAGACGUCCGUCCAUCGGCCUCGCACCUGGACAAAGGUUCACCUCACCAGAGCGCCGGUGGCCCUGCUCCAACACACCACCGGGACCCGCCACAGGUUUCGGCUUACCAGGUCGUUUGCAUGCGAAGAACUUCAAAGAAGGAGCACCAAGAGUCGGAGAGCAGAAGAACCUCGUCCAAAGGGGGGAGAGGGGUAAUCGGGAAAGGAGGUAUGCGUGCCUGCCUUCUCUCCUGAUUGCCCCCUCCCUACCACGUAUAGAGGGAG
rnacentral:misc_RNA from 1 species